rnacentral:rRNA from 1 species
GACGAACGCUGGCGGCGUGCUUAACACAUGCAAGUCGAACGCUGAAGCUUGGUGCUUGCACUGGGUGGAUGAGUGGCGAACGGGUGAGUAUCACGUGAGUAACCUGCCCCUGACUUCGGGAUAAGCCUGGGAAACUGGGUCUAAUACCGGAUAUGACCAUCUUUCGCAUGUUGGGUGGUGGAAAGUUUUUUCGGUUGGGGAUGGGCUCGCGGCCUAUCAGUUUGUUGGUGGGGUAAUGGCCUACCAAGACGACGACGGGUAGCCGGCCUGAGAGGGCGACCGGCCACACUGGGACUGAGACACGGCCCAGACUCCUACGGGAGGCAGCAGUGGGGAAUAUUGCACAAUGGGGGGAACCCUGAUGCAGCGACGCCGCGUGGGGGAUGACGGCCUUCGGGUUGUAAACCUCUUUCAGUAGGGAAGAAGCCUUUGGGUGACGGUACCUGCAGAAGAAGUACCGGCUAACUACGUGCCAGCAGCCGCGGUAAUACGUAGGGUACAAGCGUUGUCCGGAAUUAUUGGGCGUAAAGAGCUCGUAGGUGGUUUGUCGCGUCUGCUGUGGAAUCGUGCCGCUUAACGGUGCGCGUGCAGUGGGUACGGGCAGACUGGAGUGCAGUAGGGGAGUCUGGAAUUCCUGGUGUAGCGGUGAAAUGCGCAGAUAUCAGGAGGAACACCGGUGGCGAAGGCGGGACUCUGGGCUGUUACUGACGCUGAGGAGCGAAAGCAUGGGGAGCGAACAGGAUUAGAUACCCUGGUAGUCCAUGCCGUAAACGUUGGGAACUAGGUGUGGGGUCCAUUCCACGGAUUCCGCGCCGUAGCUAACGCAUUAAGUUCCCGCCUGGGGAGUACGGCCGCAAG